AUUGAACGCUGGCGGCAUGCCUUACACAUGCAAGUCGAACGGUAACAGGUUAAGCUGACGAGUGGCGCACGGGCGAGUAAUACAUCGGAACGUGCUCAGUAGCGUGGGAUAGCCCGGCGAAAGCCGGCUUAAUACCGCAUACGAUCCCAGGGUGAAUGUGGGGGAUCGCAAGACCUCUCGCUAUUGGAGCGUCCGAUGUCCGAUUAGCUAGUUGGUGGGGUAAAGGCUUACCAAGGCGACGAUCUGUAGCUGGUCUGAGAGGACGAUCAGCCACACUGGAACUGAGACACGGCCCAGACUCCUACGGAAGGCAGCAGUAGGGAAUUUUGGGCAAUGGGCGCAAGCCUGAUCCAGCCAUGCCGCGUGCGGGAAGAAGGCCUUCGGGUUGUAAACCGCUUUUGUCAGGGAAGAAAUACUUUGGAUUAAUACAUCGGGGGGAUGACGGUACCUAAAGAGUAAGCACCGGCUAACUACGUG
rnacentral:rRNA from 1 species